rnacentral:rRNA from 1 species
UGGCCUCGCAAGUCCGUCGGGAAAUCCAUCAGCCCAACUGAUGGGCGUCCGGCGGAAACUACAAGGCUUGGGACCGGAAGGCUCGAGGGGUACGUCCGGGGUAGGAGUGAAAUCCCGUAAUCCCGAACGGACCACCGAUGGCGAAAGCACCUCGAGAAGACGGCUCCGACAGUGAGGGACGAAAGCUAGGGUCUCGAACCGGAUUAGAUACCCGGGUAGUCCUAGCCGUAAACGAUGUUCGCUAGGUGUGGCACUGGCUACGAGCCAGUGCUGUGCCGUAGGGAAGCCGAGAAGCGAACCGCCUGGGAA